rnacentral:rRNA from 1 species
GAAGGAUACACCUGUUCCCAUGCCGAACACAGAAGUUAAGCUUCUUAGCGCCGAUAGUAGUUGGGGGUUUCCCCUGUGAGGAUAGGACGUCGCC